GUCUACAACCAUGCUAGUCUGAACAAGCCCGAUCCCAUCUGAUCUCGGAAACUAAGCAGGGUCGGGCUUGGUUAGUACUUGGAUGGGAGAGCACCAAGGAAGACUAGGUGCUGUAGGCA
rnacentral:rRNA from 1 species